UACGUAGGGUGCGAGCGUUGCCCGGAUUUAUUGGGCGUAAAGGGCGCGUAGGCGGCUCUGCACGUCCGUUGUGAAAUCGCCCGGCUCAACUGGGCGGGGUCAGCGGAUACGGCGGAGCUUGAGCAAGCUAGGGGGCAAUGGAAUUCCCGGUGUAGUGGUGGAAUGCGUAGAUAUUGGGAGGAACACCAGUGGCGAAGGCGGUUGCCUGGGGCUUUGCUGACGCUGAUGCGCGAAAGCGUGGGGAGCGAUCCGG
rnacentral:rRNA from 1 species